UACGAAGGGGGCUAGCGUUGUUCGGAAUCACUGGGCGUAAAGGGCGCGUAGGCGGCCGAUCAAGUCGGGGGUGAAAGCCUGUGGCUUAACCACAGAAUGGCCUCGAUACUGUUUGGCUUGAGACCGGAAGAGGUUAGUGGAACUGCGAGUGUAGAGGUGAAAUUCGUAGAUAUUGCAAGAACACCAGUGGCGAAGGCGGCUGACUGGUCCGGUUCUGACGCUGAGGCGCGAAAGCGUGGGGAGCAAACAGG
rnacentral:rRNA from 1 species